rnacentral:lncRNA from 1 species
AGUAUCCAUCUUUCUAGGAAGCACGGACACGGCUCAUCUCGUACUAGUGUUGUAUGUGUGUUCGACAUAAACACGUGUCGAACACGCCUGGAUAUAUAUAUAAAUAUAUAUAAAAGGAUUACAUACGGUCCUGACAUGAUCACAAUUCAUGUGUCUAAAAACGGAGACGGUCACAAUAGAUAGAGGCCCUAGAUUGAAAAACUACAGUUGAUGAGAAUGAAAGGGGAAGAAGAGUUUUAGAAUUUUUUUUCCCCUGUAAGAUUCUUUUUCCUGGAAGGAAAUGAAAGGUUUUUUAAGCCUGAAAGUUUUAAGGUUUUCGUUAAAAGAGAUGAAAGAUUUUUUUUUCUUAGAUAAAUUUGAAGCUUUUUUCAUUUAUUAUUGUGGACAGCCCAAAGUCCUAUCUAAGCUAUUUGUAAAUUAAUUUAAAAUACUGAGUUGGAUAUAAAGUUUUAAAUUUUGUUCGAAAAGAAUAAAAAUAAAAUAAAUAUUAAAAAGUAAAUAGCUUAUUUGAGAAAAAAUUUUUGUCUUCGCUGCACGUUACCAUUUUUAACAUUUCAAUUUCAUCCUUAUGUUUUUUUUUGCUUAUUUCCCAUUUUAAUAUUUUUAUAUAUAUUUUUAUUAUUGUAUUCGUGUCCUCAUUUUUAAAAAAUUAUUAUGUCAUUGUGUUCGUAAUGCGUCGUACGCUUAUUACGUGUUUAUUUCCGUGUCCAUUCUUCAUAGUUAUUUCUCCUUAAUCUUUGGCUUUUUUAACAAUCAAAUUCCAUUUUCUUUAAAUAUACUUGUAUUUAACAGCCUGACGCUGACAUGCAGAUAAUUGACCCAUCACCACUAAAGGAUGAGCACGAAUUUAGUCCUUAAACCACAACAUUAAUUAAGCUUUCGAAUUUCAAUGCAAAUAUAAUCCCAAUUCGGGGGCACAAAGAAAUUAAAAUUAUUUUCGGGUUUGAAUCAGACUCCUUAUUCUUCUCACAGAUGUCGAAAGGGCACAUUGGUCCCUUAUAUUGGUGAACAUGGCUGCGAUGAAAAUGGUGCCUUGUCAGUAAAGGCACCAAAACUCUCAUACUGUUUCCUGACAGAUGGCGAGGAGACCUAUCCACCGUCCAAUCCUGGCAACAUGCUAUCUUCAUGUGAUCAGC